AUUGAACGCUGGCGGCAGGCCUAACACAUGCAAGUCGAACGAGUGGCGGACGGGUGAGUAAUUUCUGGGGAACUGCCUGAUGGAGGGGGAUAACUACUGGAAACGGUACCUCAUACCGCAUACCAUCAGAUGUGCCCAUAUGGGAUUAGCUAGUUGGUGGGGUAACGGCUCACCAAGGCGACGAUCCCUAGCUGGUCUGAGAGGAUUACCGGCCACACUGGGACUGAGACACGGUCCAGACUCCUACGGGAGGCAGCAGUGGGGAAUAUUGCACAAUGGGCGCAAGCCUGAUGCAGCCAUGCCGCGUGUAUGAAGAAGGCCUUCGGGUUGUAAAGUACUUUCAGCGGGGAGGCGUUACCCGCAGAAGAAGCACCGGCUAACUCCGUGCCAGCAGCCGCGGUAAUUC
rnacentral:rRNA from 1 species